CCCUUAGAUGUUCUGGGCCGCACGCGCGCUACACUGUUCGACGCAGCGAGUCUUAACCUUGACCGAAAGGUUUGGGUAAUCUUCAGCAAAGUCGAACGUGAUGGGGACCGAUCAUUGCAAUUAUUGAUCGUGAACGAGGAAUUCCUAGUAGGUGCAAGUCAUCAGCUUGCGCUGAUUACGUCCCUGCCCUUUGUACACACCGCCCGUCGCUACUACCGAUCGGAUGGUUUAGUGAGACCCUCGGACUGGUCCCGUCGAAGCAGGCGACUGCCUCGACGCGCGCGCCGGGAAGAAGGUCGAACUUGACUAUCUAGAGGAAGUAAAAGUCGUAACA
rnacentral:rRNA from 1 species